rnacentral:rRNA from 1 species
GACAAACGCUGGCGGGGUGGCAUGAGACAUGCAAGUCGCACGGGGUUGAUCGGGCUUGCUCGAUCAACCUAGUGGCGAACGGCUGAGUAACGCGUAGGUGACCUACCCGGAAGUGGGGAAUAACUGCCCGAAAGGGUGGCUAAUACCGCAUGUGGUCGGCGAAUCAGAUCGCCGUCCAAAGCCGAAAGGCGCUUCCGGAGGGGCCUGCGUCCGAUUAGCUAGUUGGCGGGGUAACGGCUCACCAAGGCGACGAUCGGUAGCUGGUCUGAGAGGAUGAUCAGCCAGACUGGGACUGAGAACGGCCCAGACUCCUACGGGAGGCAGCAGUCGGGAAUUUUGCCCAAUGGACGAAAGUCUGAGCAGCAACUCCGCGUGAGGGAUGAA